AGGCGGAGGAAAAGAAACUAACAAGGAUUCCCCUAGUAACGGCGAGCGAACCGGGAAGAGCUCAAAUUUGUAAUCUGGCGCCCCUCGGGCUCAGAGUUGUAAUCUACAGAGGUGUUUUCCGUGCCGGCCCGUGCCCAACUUUGCUUGGAACAGUGAGAUCAAAGAGGGUGAAAAUCCCGUACUUGACACGACCGCCGGUGCUAUGUGAUACGUCUUCUAAGAGUCGAGUUGUUUGGGAAUGCAGCUCAAAACGGGUGGUAAAUUCCAUCUAAGGUUAAAUAUUGGCGAGAGACCGAUAGCGAACAAGUACCGUGAGGGAAAGAUGAAAAGCACUUUGGAAAGAGAGUUAAACAGCACGUGAAAUUGUUGAAAGGGAAACGAUUGAAGUCAGUCGUGUCCGAGGGGUUCAGCCGGUCCUGCCGGUGCAUUCCUCUCGGACGGGUCGACAUCGGUUUUGUCCGGCGGACAAGGGCAUGGGGAAAGUGGCACCUUUGGGUGUGUUAUAGCCCCGUGUCGCAUACGUCGGACGAGACCGAGGAACGCAGCUCGCCUCACGGCCGGGGUUCGCCCACGUACGAGCUUAGGAUGUUGACAUAAUGGCUUUAAC
rnacentral:rRNA from 1 species